rnacentral:lncRNA from 1 species
UCCCCUUCUCUCGUUGCUUGAGGCGUUCGGUUACUGUUGUCGGCCCACUAGUGGUUAGAGUGCUCUUCCAAGUGGUUUGCAUCUGUUGUUCUCUCUCCUCUCCAUUCAUUGUUCUUUUUCUAGAUCUUGGCGGACGUGAUUCGUGAAUUUUGUGAGUUCUCACCCGUCCAAUUCUAGGUUGUUCAUGUUUUUGCCUUGUUUUUUAGCUCUUCAAAUCGAUUGGAAGGAUCCCUUGCUUCAAGUUUAGAUUGUUGUGGUCGGCUUGCUGGUGGUUGGAGUCUUCUCUUCCCAACGGUAUGUUCUUCUUCAUCAUCAUCCAUUACUCUAUUUUCUAGAUCUGUGAGCUAUGGUCCUACAAUUCUGUGAGUCCACUGAUGGUUGUGCUUUGUUGAAUCUGUGAGCUAUGGUCCUCCAAUUCUAGGUUGUUCAUCUACUUUGUGUUGCAUUUUGCUGUUCCCAUCCUUGUGUUUUGGGUCAGCCUUUUGUGCUUGUGUAUGUGUAAUGUUGGUGCAAUUCUAGAGUAUUCUCUGCAAUAUCCUCUCGUUGGAGAGGAUUUAACUUUAUAAGGUUAUUAGAUUCUUAUAUGUUGCUUCCCAUCUUGAAUUUUUUAGUGGUUGUUGCUCCAUAAUUCGUUUUGUUAUUUUGCAGUAAAUUGAGUGAGUUGUCUCUGUAAGUUAUGUUUAGGUUAACAUACACAACAAUUUAAAGUUAUUUUGUUGUAACUCAAUAAUGAAUUGCAGUUUGAGAAUAUCUCUUUAACCCAUUAUGAUAUAUUAGGUGUUACUUAGUGUUACCUUGUUUUAUGAGUAGUGGUUAUUGUUUAUAUUACCCCUGCAGGUUCUAAUUGGACGUUUAACUAUUUUUCUUACAUUAAGCAUAAUUACACUGUCACGUUAUUAUAUUUCUCCAACAAGGCUACUGUAAUUUUCAAGACCCCACCAAGAUUUAACUAUUUUUUGUUACAUUGCAUUUAUGUAUUAUUUACAGUGUCGGAAAAAAGUAAUUCCCAAGCAAGGCUACCGUAAUUUUUACUACUCCUUUAGGGUUUAACUGGUUUUCUCGUUAUAGUGCAUUUCUGUAUUAUUUAUAGUGUAAAAGUAUUAUAAUUGUGAAGCAAUGACAAGCGAACACACACACGGGCACAUAUUUACGAACUUUAAUGAGGAAGCUUAGUUGGAAUCAUCUGAUUGAAACAAAUCAGAGUAAGGGGUCACACCCCCUGAAAUUCAAGGGGUGAAGGUGUGUCUAUGAAGAAUCAGGCUGUAGGUGGGACUGUUAAUCCAUUAGUCCCAACACGGUUUGGUGAAAAAAAUGAUGGAAGUCCCAUCUAGACUAGCGUAGAUUAUGUGGGAGUAAGUGGGAUCCUACUUAACAAAUGCACUUGCAGGCUUGCAGCUGAAAACAUCGGUAGAUGCUUAUGGAUGCCUCAAUUUAAAGAGCAGAUCCCGAAGCAAGUGUCAGGGUUGGGGCUGCUGUUGACCUGCCAAUCGCGUCCGGACGAGUCGAGGGGAUCGUCGAUUCUUGAUUGGAACAGCGGUGAGGCGAAGGAGGCAGAAGCUGCGAGGUAGGGGAGGGGAUACGUGCGAGCCGGAAGAGGUGGGGUGCGAGGAGGAAGAAGCAGCCGUGGAGCGGCGGCGGCGGCCAUCGAUUCUCGACGGCGGUGGAAGUACGCUGCGACGCCGCCCUCAGCUCCCUGCAUGAGAAGCUAUGUGGAUGGCCUUUUUUUUAGAAGAAGCUAUGUGGAUGGCCUAAUAGGGUACCAGUGGGCUAAAGGGGCUAGCCCAUUUAAUUUCUUUCUGGUCCAACAGGCUCCCACUAUUGCGUUUAUCAAACUGUUGAAGCAUACUUUUUUACUUAACUUGUCCUAAAUUAUUAUUUUUACGAGAAUGAGAACGCUUUGAGAUACUCUCAUGAUUUUUCGGUAGCCUUUUUUUGUGAGUGUGUUUUCUCGGUAGUCUGUUUCUUGUGAGAUGACACAUCUUAUUUCCCUAAAAGAAAAG